AGUGAACGCUGGCGGUAGGCCUAACACAUGCAAGUCGAACGGCAGCACAGUAAGAGCUUGCUCUUACGGUUGGCGAGUGGCGGACGGGUGAGGAAUACAUCGGAAUCUACUUUUUCGUGGGGGAUAACGUAGGGAAACUUACGCUAAUACCGCAUACGAUCUACGGGUGAAAGCAGGGGAUCUUCGGACCUUGCGCGAUUGAAUGAGCCGAUGUCGGAUUAGCUAGUUGGCGGGGUAAAGGCCCACCAAGGCGACGAUCCGUAGCUGGUCUGAGAGGAUGAUCAGCCACACUGGAACUGAGACACGGUCCAGACUCCUACGGGAGGCAGCAGUGGGGAAUAUUGGACAAUGGGCGAAAGCCUGAUCGAGCAAUACCGCGUGGGUGAAGAAGGCCUUCGGAUUGUAAAGCCCUUUUGUUGGGAAAGAAAAGCAGCAGGUUAAUACCCCGCUGUUCUGACGGUACCCAAAGAAUAAGCACCGGCUAACUACGUG
rnacentral:rRNA from 1 species